GGGGGCGUCACGGUUUCGACGUGAUUAGUGAAUUUGGAACUGCGUGCCGAGGUCCCUGGAUCCUCGUUAAUCCUCUGGGAAAAUUGUAAUUGCCAACACUGAAAUGGCGAUGGCUGCGUAACUUAGCUUACGUGCUCGUUUCUUGAUUCCCCAGCUCGAAGGGAAUCUCUGAAGCGUCGAUAAAUCGAGCUGGUCUUGGGUUAGAGCUGUCAUGACCGAAGGCAAGAUUAUUUGAUGGCUAGUCUGGGAGUUGGUUGCCCGCUCACCUGCCUGGAUGAAACUACGAGUGGUGCUACGCACGUAGAGGUUCUACAGGAGCUAUUUGCGGACGCGGGUUUGACUCCCGCCGCCUCCAUUG
rnacentral:tmRNA from 1 species